UGCGGGAUUUAGGAGUCUGGUCCCUAGAGAGGCUCAUAAUCUCUUUUACGUUGGUUCAAAUCCAACUCCCGCAC
rnacentral:tRNA from 1 species